rnacentral:piRNA from 1 species
UGAUGUGCUGUGUGAUGUGACUGGCU